UGGCAGCGUGAGUGGGUUGAAAAGAAAGAGCUGAUGAUGGUGGACGAAUGAGUGGUGGUGGAGGCUGUGAAUCGCGGCUGAUUGUAGCGAAUGGAGAGGCGGAUUUUCGUGGUGGUUCAGCGGCUGUUUUGGCUAGUUUCCCGUGGCUACGGUGACGAGAUGGUGGUGUUAUGGGUUGGGUUAUGAUUGGCGGCGUGUAGGCUUUC
rnacentral:lncRNA from 1 species